UAAGUGCUCUCUGUUGGGAUGA
rnacentral:miRNA from 1 species